rnacentral:rRNA from 1 species
GAUGAACGCUGGCGGCGUGCCUAAUACAUGCAAGUCGAGCGUACAGACGAGGAGCUUGCUCCUCUGACGUUAGCGGCGGACGGGUGAGUAACACGUGGAUAACCUACCUAUAAGACUGGGAUAACUUCGGGAAACCGGAGCUAAUACCGGAUAAUAUAUUGAACCGCAUGGUUCAAUAGUGAAAGACGGUUUUGCUGUCACUUAUAGAUGGAUCCGCGCCGCAUUAGCUAGUUGGUAAGGUAACGGCUUACCGAGGCAACGAUGCGUAGCCGACCUGAGAGGGUGAUCGGCCACACUGGAACUGAGACACGGUCCAGACUCCUACGGGAGGCAGCAGUAGGGAAUCUUCCGCAAUGGGCGAAAGCCUGACGGAGCAACGCCGCGUGAGUGAUGAAGGUCUUCGGAUCGUAAAACUCUGUUAUUAGGGAAGAACAAAUGUGUAAGUAACUAUGCACGUCUUGACGGUACCUAAUCAGAAAGCCACGGCUAACUACGUG